UUCUUUCACAGAAGAGCAAUUGAUUCCCUUUCUUCAAAACAACUGAAAUCUAGGGAAAUGCUUGAAUAUUUUUACAUAGCUGUUUAUUCUCACUGAAUUCAGAAGAAGAGGCAGAGAAUAGAAAGAAGCACAAUCUGAUACAGUGCUUGACAGUCAAUCUAUUAGUGGCAGAGGGGCUCAAAUGCCUGGGGGUCGAAUGUUCAGUCUUUUCGGUAAUCAUAAUUUGA